GAGAGAGGUUAUUCUUGAAAAACAACUGCUCAAUCGUAAACAUGUUGCUUGGAAGACAUCCAUAAAGCGCACUGUAACAAAAUCAAAUCCUCCAAGAAUUAGCCAUGAAAACCUCAUUAAAACUCCAGUUUCUCAAGGAUCAGUAGAAGAUGUUUCAUUUUCUGAAAGUGACAUCUCUCCUGCGCACUGUAACUUGUGGGAUGAUUUUAAUUGGCUUUUACAUUUGCAAGUGGAGAGCAUUUUAUGGUUCUAGUAGUGUCAUCAUGCCAAUGCAAAAUCAUUUGAGGCCUUGGAAGAUAUGAAGGUAUUUCCUUUACCUAACUGUAAUUUCAUUCUUAGUUCAUAGCUUUGGAAUUCUGUUUCACAUUAUUGCUGCUGCUGUCUAGUACUAGUCAAAGUAGUUUUUCUUUUCCUGUGACAACACUACUUCAUGCUUCUCUUGCAGAAAAAUUGUGAUGUUUUAGACCCGAACUACCAACCCAAGAGAUCUAGCUAUGGGUUACCUGAGGACAAAUUUAUAUUUGAUUGUUUUAACCAGCUAUACAAGAUGGAUCUUGAUAUUUUCAAUACAUGGUGCAACAUCCUUAAGCGAGUACCAAAUAGUGCACUUUGGCUUCUCAAAUUUUCUGCUGCUGGCGAGUCAAGACUUUGCAAUUGUACUGCCAUUUUACCAUUUCUCAAGAAAAAUCAUUUACAUGCAUAAUAUUUGAAUUCUUCUUCGUUAUUUAUAUUUCAUAAUGUAGUAAUGGGUAUUUAUCUUACAAAGGAAAGAUAAAUUAGUAACUGAUAAACUAUUGGUGUUCCAGAUGCUGUUCAAAGAGGUGUACAACCAGAUCAGAUUAUUUUCACAGAUGUUGCCAUGAAGGGUGAGCAUAUCAAGCGCAGUGCUUUAGCAGAUUUAUUAUUGGACACGUAAGCAUGCUUAAUACUUUUUUUUUCUAUUUUUUUAUUAUUCAAGUGUAUUUAUCUUAGUACAAUACAAUAUGUAACUUUAUUUUGAUAUUUGAUGUUGCUAUUGCUGAUUGAUUUUGCUAUUGUUGUUUUGUUUCUUUAUUUUUUUUUGGUGGUGUGUGCUCUGUAGCAUUGCAUUUAGUUAGCUUAAUAUUUAGCUCAUAUUUUCUUGAGUCGUUGCACCAGAAUUCCCUUAAUCAAGAGCCAUAUUCUGUCAGAAGUGAAUCAUGUCUUGUUAACAGAAUGAUUUUUCAACUGGUUACAGGACUUUCCCAGAGCUUGGACAACAAUUUUGAUUUCUCUAGACAAUAGUGGCAUGUGGAACCUUCGAACAAACAAUCUAAACUCGUGGUAUCUUGGCCAGGAAACGUACAUUAGUGUCGUAAACUCUGAGUUUGUUAGAAGAAUUGGAGAAGCAGUAGAAAGUAAGUUCAAUUCAAUUUCAUUUUCUGGUUUUAGAUAUAAGUUGCAAUCAACAUGAAUUAGAAAUUAGAAAUGCCACAAAGAAUAAGACAAUAAAAUUUUUACAUUAUGAAAAGAAUAAAUGGC